rnacentral:rRNA from 1 species
CAACAGGGAUUGCCCUAGUAACGGCGAGUGAAGCGGCAACAGCUCAAAUUUGAAAUCUGGCUUCGGCCCGAGUUGUAAUUUGCAGAGGAUGCUUCUGGCGCGGUGCCUUCCGAGUUCCCUGGAACGGGACGCCACAGAGGGUGAGAGCCCCGUAUGGUCGGACACCAAGCCUGUGUGAAGCUCCUUCGACGAGUCGAGUAGUUUGGGAAUGCUGCUCUAAAUGGGAGGUAAAUCUCUUCUAAAGCUAAAUACCGGCCAGAGACCGAUAGCGCACAAGUAGAGUGAUCGAAAGAUGAAAAGCACCUUGAAAAGGGGGUUAAAUAGUACGUGAAAUUGUUGAAAGGGAAGCGUUUAUGACCAGACUUGCGCCGGGCGGCUCAUCAGGGGUUCUCCCCUGUGCAUUCCGCCCGGCUCAGGCCAGCAUCGGUUCUCGUGGGGGGAUAAGACCGUCGGGAACGUAGCACCCUCCGGGGUGUGUUAUAGCCCGGCGGACGAUACCCUCGUGGGGACCGAGGUUCGCGCUCCGCAAGGAUGCUGGCGUAAUGGUCAUCAGCGACCCGUCUUGAAACACGGACCAAGGAGUCGUCCAUUAGAGCGAGCGUUUGGGUGUAAAACCCGCACGCGUAAUGAAAGUGAACGCAGGUGAGAGCUUCGGCGCAUCAUCGACCGAUCCUGAUGUUCUCGGAAGGAUUUGAGUAAGAGUUUUAACGGACGGACCCGAAAGACAGUGAACUAUGCUUGUAUAGGGUGAAGCCAGAGGAAACUCUGGUGGAGGCUCGCAGCGGUUCUGACGUGCAAAUCGAUCGUCAAAUAUGAGCAUGGGGGCGAAAGACUAAUCGAACUGUCUAGUAGCUGGUUAC